GCUGCGAAAAAUCUCUUGAUGACGAACCAUCUAAUGAUUGAUGGGAAUUGUUGGAAUGAAAGAAGAUGGACGUCUCCUAUAUCAAAAGUUAGGCUUAAUUUAGUUUCUUUUCUUUAUAGCAAAAAGUUUACAUGUUUGCAUACGAUCGGUUAUUUUAGUAUUAUUAAAGACUUAUUCAUUGAUAA